rnacentral:tRNA from 23 species
GGGCCUAUAGCUCAGUCGGUUAGAGCAGCGGACUCAUAAUCCGUUGGUCGACAGUUCAAGUCUGUCUGGGCCCACCA